rnacentral:misc_RNA from 1 species
GUUCAAACUUGUGUACGCUUCCACUAGGUACUUGCUACCUUUCACCAACGUAAAGACCAUAUAAGUCUCUUAUACUUUCUGGCUCCAUGAGGGCAAUAGAAAGUAACAAUAACUGAUAUAUUGAAUUCAAUCAAUCUCCAUAUGUGCUCGUAGGCAGAAACCGAAAUCAAAUUGAAACCUAUCCUCUAUGAUUUCCAGACCAUCACUGAACUUCUUGAUGAUGUGAGACAACUGAAAACUUGUACAUAUUGACCAAAAUCUGUACAGCUCAGUCAAGCCUCGAAAGAUACAUGGACGAUACUGAAAUUCCACUGUCCAGAUAUAACUUCAAAGCUCGAAUGAAGACAACAAGAAGAAACAUCGUUGCCCUUGUGUGGUUGUAUCUCCAACAUGUAUAUAAACUAUUGACUUGUCAUUGAAGUGAGAAUCAUUAUAAGUUCCUGAGUCCUCACUAGAAAAAGUCAUCUAAACACAUGAACGAGGAACUGAACUAUUGCGUUAACUGUUGCAACAAAAUGUUAGGAAGGCUUGUUUCCAUCAUAAGCUUUCUGGUCUCCACGAACAAAUAUUCUAUACAGCCUCAACCUCCUUAAGAGAGAGAAUAUCAUCACGUGGAUGAGCUUCUUCAACUUGGACAUCUACUUCAUCACCAAUUUGUACACCAAUAGACACCCACGAAGAAGCUUGAAUUCCAAUCUCCGUCAACAGUAUUGCGGCUAUUCGGUCUUUGAUGAAUCUAAGGACCAGGGCACGAUACCGUUUCCCUUUCGGCUGCCUUCUCAAGUAUUCCAAUAUCCAAUACCGAAGACUGCUGCUGGAGAGCCUCCUUACAACUCUGGUUGUCAUGUUUACUGAAGACGCAAUGCCUUCUAGCUCCCCAGCUGAGAGAGGAAGAGGUUCACCACAAAGAAAUGCCUUUACCUGAUAAUGGGCUGCGAGAUCCAUAUAUCUUCUAAUGGGGGAGGUAAACUGAACAUAGCCUGGAAGUCCCAACACCCCAUGGCGUAUAGGAUUCCUGAAAUCCAUUUCAGCUGCACGCAUAGUUCGAACAAUAGCAGCACUCCUAACGGGUCCUUCUGGAAGGUGUGCAAAUGCAGAAGCGUCGAUAUUAGAUUGAGAGAGAAUAUCAUCACGUGGAUGAGCUUCUUCAACUUGGACAUCUACUUCAUCACCAAUUUGUACACCAAUAGACACCCACGAAGAAGCUUGAAUUCCAAUCUCCGUCAACAGUAUUGCGGCUAUUCGGUCUUUGAUGAAUCUAAGGACCAGGGCACGAUACCGUUUCCCUUUCGGCUGCCUUCUCAAGUAUUCCAAUAUCCAAUACCGAAGACUGCUGCUGGAGAGCCUCCUUACAACUCUGGUUGUCAUGUUUACUGAAGACGCAAUGCCUUCUAGCUCCCCAGCUGAGAGAGGAAGAGGUUCACCACAAAGAAAUGCCUUUACCUGAUAAUGGGCUGCGAGAUCCAUAUAUCUUCUAAUGGGGGAGGUAAACUGAACAUAGCCUGGAAGUCCCAACACCCCAUGGCGUAUAGGAUUCCUGAAAUCCAUUUCAGCUGCACGCAUAGUUCGAACAAUAGCAGCACUCCUAACGGGUCCUUCUGGAAGGUGUGCAAAUGCAGAAGCGUCGAUAUUAGAUUGAGGCUGUCCACGGUAUGGUAAAGGGAUGUUGUUAUGAGAACCAAAAGUGGC